CAGGUGGAGAGGGGGGAGACAGGAGGUGAGUCAGUUGUGGUGCCCCCGCUGCCUGUCUUCCUGUUCCCCUCUGAGCUGGUGUUCUACUCUGGACAGAGAAACUCACACAGGAGAGUUUUAACUCUGUACAACCCCUACAGAUUCAGGAUCAGCUUCAAGAUGUUGUGUACUGCUCCCUCGCUCUACAGAGUGGUGGAGGCAGAGGGGGGCGUCCGAGCCCAGUCCUGUGUCGACCUGGUGGUGCGUCACCUGGACGUCUCCCCUCGGAACUGGAGCCGCAGAGACCGGUUCCGCAUGGAAGUCAGAGGAGGGGGUCAGAUGGGAGAACGGGAGAUCUGGGCAGAGCUGAGAG